rnacentral:rRNA from 1 species
CCCUUAGAUGUUCUGGGCCGCACGCGCGCUACACUGAUGCGUUCAACAAGUUUCCUUGGCCGCGAGGCCUGGGCAAUCUUCUUAAUAUGUAUCGUGAUAGGGAUAGAUUAUUGCAAUUAUUAAUCUUGAACGAGGAAUUCCUAGUAAACGCAGAUCAUCAAUCUGCAUUGAUUACGUCCCUGCCCUUUGUACACACCGCCCGUCGCACCUACCGAUUGGAUGUUCCGGUGAAGCCUCGGGAUGAGGACUGGUGCCUUUAUUGGCAUGAGUUGUUCAGAACUUGUCUAAACCUUAUCAUCUAGAGGAAGGUGAAGUCGUAACA